CUCGUCUUCACUCGGGCGGGAUAGGUAAACUUCCCGCCGGCAGGGGGCGACAUAGCGCUAGCGGCGCUAAUGACAGGAGGCGGCGCCAUGAGCUUGCAGUGUCCAUUUUAUUUACAAGAGCUCUGAGUAUAUAUCACAACCAUGGUAUGCUACUUUCAAAUCACAACUUAGAAAUCUAAAGCUUGAUUGUCUAAAAUGCAAGAGAUGAAGCUGCGCACAUGGGAAACUUGGGUUGAAACUUUUGGGUGCUGGCAUGCACUUCCAGUCCACAAAGUAAAGGACCCAGAAAACAUCUAUUGGAAGAAAAACAAAUUAUCUUAUUGAUUGCUUUAACUGGUGCCCUAAAACUACCUGCAAUGAAAGUAGACGUGGCUUCCACAGCAGCCUAGGUCAUCCCCAAAGGAUGUGGGGAUCCCCUCAGGCAGUCAUAGGCUUAACAAGUGGGGAACAGGAACAUUAGACCGGCAAUGGCCAGGGAAGCGCUGGACCAAUGGAAUUAGAAGAGAACAAACUCUUAUGGCAAUCAAAGAGUAGCGUUUAUUGGAAGCACAACAACGCGUUUCUGGCCCGGAAAGGGCCCUUCAUCAGGACAAACAAGACAAUGGAAAUGUUCGGUGAGGAAGAAUCCCUUUGUGAUAGAUGACAGAAAUGUCAAUUAGUAUGGAUGGAGAACAUGUUAUCUGUAUGCACGCAGCACCACAGAAGGUACCGGAGAACGGAGGAGAGCGCAGACACUUUUCGGGAAUUACACUUUCUGCUCCUGAGGCCACUAAGCUGAAAAUUGCCAUGGAAACAAACCCUGGCACACAACUGCCCCUAAGGAAUCUCCGGCUCUAGCUAUCACAGCUGCCAGUGUCAACACAAAAGUGAGGAGUACGAUACCUGGUCCUCUGUGCCUUUUCUCCAUCCAGAUGUAGCAGUUGUUCUGGGCUACACCAGUCUGAGAAUCGAGAAAGGGGAGGCGAACGCUGCGUUCUGCGCAUAGCCUUGCGUUGUAGUUGCGACAGUGCUCGAUAGCCUCUUUAUAGAACUGAUCCCCAAGUCUGCAAGAAAAAACAAUAAUACAUGAAUUUCGAUCAACUUACAAAUUGAAAGCCCGAUACCAACGCCUGACACCUAGUCUGUAGACAUUUGAAUGAAGCCGUACUGCGUAAUGCAGGUUUCUUAAACCUUUAAUUCCUGACAACUGUUGCAGUGUGACAGGGCAUAUUUGGUUGCUAAAAGAGGCCAUUGCUAUUAGAAAAUACUGUAUACUUGGACUGAACCCUGCCUUCUUCCCAGUGUGUAUCCUGGUCCCAUUUCUUCCUCAGGUACCGAUGACACACCACGAGACCUGAUGUUUUGGAGAUACUUUGACCCAGUUGUCCAGCCAUCACACUUCAGCCCUUUUCAAGGUUGCUCAGAUCCUUACACUUUGCCCUAUUUCCUGCUUAUACCACAUCAACUUCAACAUCUGACUGUUCUCUUACAUUGCAUGUACAUACAAAUGUUAUAGAAACAUGUAUGUUGCG